UACGUAGGGUGCUAGAGUUGUCCGGAUUUACUGGGUGUAAAGGGUGCUCAGGUGGAUUUGGUAAGUCAGAGGUGAAAUCCCAAAGCUUAACUUUGGUGCUGCCUUUGAUACUGCAAGUCGUAGAGUUUGAGAGAGGGCAAUGGAAUAUCUGGUGUAGCAGUGAAAUGCGUAGAUAUCAGAUAGAACACCAAUGGCGAAGGCAGUUGCCUGGCUCAAAACUGACGCUAAAGCACGAAAGUGUGGGGAGCAAACAGG
rnacentral:rRNA from 1 species